GAUGAACGCUGACAGAAUGCUUAGCACAUGCAAGUCAACUUGAACUUCGGUUUGGGUGGCGGACGGGUGAGUAACGCGUACAGAACUUACCUCACAGCUAGGGACAACUUUUGGAAACGAAUGCUAAUACCUGAUAUGAUGAUUAUAUGGCAUCGUAUAAUUAUGACAUCUAUAUGCGCUGUGAGAGAGCUUUGCGUCCCAUUAGCUAUUUGGAAAGGUAACAGCGCACAAAGGCGAUGAUGGGUAGCCGGCCUGAGAGGGUGAUCGGCCACAAGGGGCCGGAGGCACGACCCGUAGUGAUUCUGGAGGCAUGAGUGGAGAACAGUGGAAGAAACACCGAGAGUGUGAUGAAGCAAUUCUGUGUGCACGAUGAAGUUAUUAGGAAUGAAAAGAGCUGUCAGUUGGUAAGAAAAAAAUGACGGUACCAAAAGAAGAAGCGACGGCUAAAUACGUG
rnacentral:rRNA from 1 species